rnacentral:rRNA from 1 species
AUUGGACGCUGGCGGCAUGCCUUACACAUGCAAGUCGAACGGCAGCGGGGACUUCGGUCCGCCGGCGAGUGGCGAACGGGUGAGUAAAGUAUCGGAACGUACCUUUCAGUGGGGGAUAACGUAGCGAAAGUUACGCUAAUACCGCAUAUUCUGUGAGCAGGAAAGCAGGGGAUCGCAAGACCUUGCGCUGAUUGAGCGGCCGAUAUCAGAUUAGCUAGUUGGUGGGGUAAAGGCCUACCAAGGCUACGAUCUGUAGCGGGUCUGAGAGGAUGAUCCGCCACACUGGGACUGAGACACGGUACAGACUCCUACGGGAGGCAGCAGUGGGGAAUUUUGGACAAUGGGGGCAACCCUGAUCCAGCCAUGCCGCGUGAGUGAAGAAGGCCUUCGGGUUGUAAAGCUCUUUCGGCCGGGAAGAAAUCGCACAGGCUAAUACCUUGUGUGGAUGACGGUACCGGAAUAAGAAGCACCGGCUAACUACGUGCCAGCAGCCGCGGUAA